AGCAUGUACGUAAGUUGUUGCAGUUAAAAAGCUCGUAGUUGGAUCUCAGGCUUGUGGCCGGUGGUCCGCUCGAUACGGGUGUGCACUGCCGUGCCCGGUCUACGUCUGGUUUACAACCUAUAGUGCUCUUAACCGGGUGCUAUAGGCUGCCAGAAAGUUUACUCUGAAAAAAUUAGAGUGCUUAAAGCAAGCCGUUUGUGCUUGAAUACUGUUGCAUGGAAUAAUAGAAUAGGACCUCGGAUCUAUUUUGUUGGU
rnacentral:rRNA from 1 species